rnacentral:rRNA from 1 species
GACGAACGCUGGCGGCGUGCUUAACACAUGCAAGUCGAACGAAGAGCGAUGGAAGCUUGCUUCUAUCAAUCUUAGUGGCGAACGGGUGAGUAACGCGUAAUCAACCUGCCCUUCAGAGGGGGACAACAGUUGGAAACGACUGCUAAUACCGCAUACGAUCUAAUCUCGGCAUCGAGGAUAGAUGAAAGGUGGCCUCUACAUGUAAGCUAUCACUGAAGGAGGGGAUUGCGUCUGAUUAGCUAGUUGGAGGGGUAACGGCCCACCAAGGCGAUGAUCAGUAGCCGGUCUGAGAGGAUGAACGGCCACAUUGGGACUGAGACACGGCCCAGACUCCUACGGGAGGCAGCAGUGGGGAAUCUUCCGCAAUGGACGAAAGUCUGACGGAGCAACGCCGCGUGAGUGAUGACGGCCUUCGGGUUGUAAAGCUCUGUUAAUCGGGACGAAAGGCCUUCUUGCGAAUAGUGAGAAGGAUUGACGGUACCGGAAGAAAAAGCCACGGCUAACUACGUG